UACGUAGGUGGCAAGCGUUGUCCGGAUUUACUGGGCGUAAAGAGCGCGCAGGCGGUCGUUCAAGUCGCGUGUGAAAGCCCCCGGCUCAACUGGGGAGGGUCACGCGAUACUGAUCGACUCGAAGGCAGGAGAGGGUAGUGGAAUUCCAGGUGUAGCGGUGAAAUGCGUAGAUAUCUGGAGGAACACCGGUGGCGAAGGCGGCAUCCUGGACCGGCAUUGACGCUGAGGCGCGAAAGCCAGGGGAGCAAACGGG
rnacentral:rRNA from 1 species